CGGCUCUCGCAUCGAUGAAGAACGUAGCAAAAUGCGAUACCUGGUGUGAAUUGCAGAAUCCCGCGAACCAUCGAGUUUUUGAACGCAAGUUGCGCCCAAGGCCUUUGGGCUGAGGGCACGUCUGCCUGGGCGUCACGCCAAUAGACACUCCCCNUCCCACCAU
rnacentral:rRNA from 1 species